UGGGGAAUUUUGGACAAUGGGCGCAAGCCUGAUCCAGCCAUGCCGCGUGCGGGAAGAAGGCCUUCGGGUCGUAAACCGCUCUUGUCAGGGAAGAAAUCCUUUGAGCUAAUACCUCGGGGGGAUGACGGUACCUGAAGAAUAAGCACCGGCUAACUACGUGCCAGCAGCCGCGGUAAUACGAAGGGUGCAAACGUUGCUCGGAAUUACUGGGCGUAAAGCGUGCGCAGGCGGUUAUGUAAGACAGAUGUGAAAUCCCCGGGCUCAACCUGGGACCUGCAUUUGUGACUGUAUAGCUAGAGUACGGUAGAGGGGGAUGGAAUUCCGCGUGUAGCAGUGAAAUGCGUAGAUAUGCGGAGGAACACCGAUGGCGAAGGCAAUCCCCUGGACCUGUACUGACGCUCAUGCACGAAAGCGUGGGGAGCAAACA
rnacentral:rRNA from 1 species